rnacentral:tRNA from 1 species
GUGGCCAAAGCUUUAAAGAAGCGUCGAUCUUGUAAAUCGGAAGAAGAAGAACACGUUUCUUCUGACCACU